GGAGGGGUGGCCGAGCGGCCGAAGGCGGGUGAUUUGAAAUCACCUGUGGGUCUUGACGGCCCACCGGGGGUUCGAAUCCCUCCCCCUCCG
rfam:Thermocrinis minervae strain DSM 19557 genome assembly, chromosome: I